rnacentral:rRNA from 1 species
GAUGAACGCUGGCGGCGUGCCUAAUACAUGCAAGUCGAGCGAACAGACGAGGAGCUUGCUCCUUUGACGUUAGCGGCGGACGUGUGAGUAACACGUAGGUAACCUACCUAUAAGACUGGGAUAACUUCGGGAAACCGGAGCUAAUACCGGAUAAUAUUUCGAACCGCAUGGUUCUAUAGUGAAAGAUGGCUUUGCUAUCUCUUAUAGAUUGUCCUGCGCCGUAUUAGCUAGUUGGUAAGGUAACGGCUUACCAAGGCAACGAUACGUAGCCGACCUGAGAGGGGGAUCGGACACACUGGAACGGAGACACGGACAAGACACGUACGGGAGGAAGCAGUAGGGAAUAUUCCGCAAUGGGCGAAAGCAUGACGGAGAAACGACGCGUGAGGGAUGAAGGUCUUCGGAUCGUAAAACUCUGUUAUUAGGGAAGAACAAACGUGUAAGUAAAUGUGAACGUAUUGACGGUAACUAAUCAGAAAGCCACGGCUAACUACGUG